rnacentral:rRNA from 1 species
AUACGGAUGGUGCAAGCGUUACUCGGAAUCACUGGGCGUAAAGCGCGCGCAGGCGGCUAUUUAAGUUGGAUGUGAAAGCCUACGGCUCAACCGUAGAACUGCAUCCAAAACUAUUUAGCUAGAGUGUGGGAGAGGAAGAUGGAAUUAGUUGUGUAGGGGUAAAAUCCGUAGAGAUAACUAGGAAUACCAAAAGCGAAGGCAAUCUUCUGGAACACUACUGACGCUGAGGCGCGAAAGCGUGGGGAGCAAACAGGAUUAGAAACCCCAGUAGUCC